rnacentral:rRNA from 1 species
GCUUGUCUCAAAGAUUAAGCCAUGCAUGUCUAAGUAUAAACAAAUUUAUAGUGAAACUGCGAAUGGCUCAUUAUAUCAGUUAUAGUUUAUUUGGCGAUAAAAACUACUUGGAUAACCGUAGUAAUUCUAGAGCUAAUACAUGCAUAAAUCCCCGACUGUUUGGAAGGGGUGUAUUUAUUAGAUGGAAACCAAUUCGGGGCAACCCGGCUCAUGGUGAUUCAUAAUAACUUUCGGAUCGACCUUUCGGUCGAUGCAUCAUUCAAGUUUCUGCCCUAUCAGUUUUGGAUGGUAGGGUAUUGGCCUACCAUGACUUUAACGGGUAACGGAGAAUUAGGGUUCGAUUCCGGAGAGGGAGCCUGAGAAAUGGCUACCACAUCCAAGGAAGGCAGCAGG